rnacentral:rRNA from 1 species
UACAGAGGUCCCAAGCGUUUGUUCGGAUUCACUGGGCGUAAAGGGUGCGUAGGCGGUCGGGUAAGUCUGAUGUGAAAUCUCACAGCUUAACUGUGAAACUGCAUUGGAUACUAUUCGGCUAGAGAGUUGGAGGGGGGACUGGAAUUCUUGGUGUAGCAGUGAAAUGCGUAGAUAUCAAGAGGAACACCAGUGGCGAAGGCGAGUCCCUGGACAACUUCUGACGCUGAGGCACGAAAGCUAGGGGAGCAAACAGG